CCUACGGGUGGCUGCAGUGGGGAAUAUUGGACAAUGGGGGCAACCCUGAUCCAGCCAUGCCGCGUGUGUGAAGAAGGCCCUCGGGUUGUAAAGCACUUUCAGUGAGGAAGAACGCCUGGUGGUUAAUACCCAUCAGGAAAGACAUCACUCACAGAAGAAGCACCGGCUAACUCCGUGCCAGCAGCCGCGGUAAUACGGAGGGUGCGAGCGUUAAUCGGAAUUACUGGGCGUAAAGCGCGCGUAGGUGGCUUGAUAAGCCGGUUGUGAAAGCCCCGGGCUCAACCUGGGAACGGCAUCCGGAACUGUCAAGCUAGAGUGCAGGAGAGGAAGGUAGAAUUCCCGGUGUAGCGGUGAAAUGCGUAGAGAUCGGGAGGAAUACCAGUGACGAAGGCGGCCUUCUGGACUGACACUGACACUGAGGUGCGAAAGCGUGGGUAGCAAACAGGAUUAGAUACCCUAGUAGUC
rnacentral:rRNA from 1 species